UUCUGGAAAUGUACAUCUGGAGUCACCCUGGAUGGAUCGACUUUAGGGAAACUCUUGACAACAUCGAGGACUCUCCCGAUGACCUGUUCCUUGCUGAGAUGAUCGUCAUGUGAUGACAUUAACCGGAUACAACUAGAGAAGCUCCAUGGUUGAGAUUUGCGACUGGCUAGGGCUAGCGUUUGUACGGGGACCCGGAGCUGGCGAAGUAGGACUGCUCUCAAUGCCAUUUCUCUCUCUUCCUCGUUUCGGUUUGCUACUUCGGUUGAUUUGGGUAGUUAGGGC
rnacentral:misc_RNA from 1 species